GCCAGCAGCCAUAGCACUCUGGCAACCCACUGAAGCUAAGCAGGUGUGAGCCUGGUCAGUGCCCGGAAUGGAGACCUCCUGGGAAAAUCUUAGGUUGCUGCUGGAA
rnacentral:rRNA from 1 species